GGGCAACAGCCCAGAUCGUCAGCUAAGGUCCCUAAAUGUAAGUUAAGUGGUAAAGGAUGUGGGAUUGCACAGACAACCAGGAUGUUGGCUUAGAAGCAGCCACUCAUUCAAAGAGUGCGUAAUAGCUCACUGGUCGAGUGAUCCUGCGCCGAAGAUUUCCGGGGCUAAAACUUACUACCGAAGCUACGGCAUCAGUAAUGAUGGGUAGGGGAGCUUCCCAUACGGGUUGAAGCAUGACCGUAAGGACAUGUGGACAGUAUGGGAGUGAGAAUGUUGGCAUGAGUAGCGAGAUGUGGGUGAGAAUCCCACAGGCCGUAAACCCAAGGUUUCCAGGGGAAGGUUCGUCCGCCCUGGGUUAGUCGGGACCUAAGCUGAGGCCGAAAGGCGUAGGUGAUGGACAACAGGUUGAUAUUCCUGUACUACCGAUAACCGUUUGAGAGAAGGGAUGACACAGUAGGAUAAGCUAAGCACACUGUUGGUUAUGUGUGCCCAAGCAUUGAGGCAGUCAAAGUAGGCAAAUCCGCUUUGAUAAUGCUGGGAUGUGAUGGGGAGCGAAAUUUAGUAGCGAAGUAGCUGAUUUCACACUGUCAAGAAAAGUCUCUAUCGAGGUUAAAGGUACCCGUACCGCAAACCGACACAGGUGGGUGAGGAGAGUAUCCUAAGGCCAGCGAGAGAACUGUUGUUAAGGAACUCGGCAAAAUGACCCCGUAACUUAGGGAUAAGGGGUGCCACCAUCAGGUGGCCGCAGAGAAUAGGCCCAAGCGACUGUUUACCAAAAACAUAGGUUUCUGCUAAGUCGCAAGACGAUGUAUAGGAGCUGACGCCUGCCCGGUGCUGGAAGGUUAAGGGGAUCUGUUAGAGCAAUCGAAGCAGUGAACUUAAGCCCCAGUAAACGGCGGCCGUAACUAUAACGGUCCUAAGGUAGCGAAAUUCCUUGUCGGGUAAGUUCCGACCCGCACGAAAGGCGUAACGAUUUGGGCACUGUCUCAACAACAGACUCGGUGAAAUUGUAAUUCCGGUGAAGAUGCCGGAUACCUGCGACAGGACGGAAAGACCCCAUGGAGCUUUACUGUAGCUUGACAUUGGGUCUUGGUACUACAUGUACAGGAUAGGUGGGAGGCUUUGAAACCAGGACGCCAGUUUUGGCGGAGCCAUCCUUGGGAUACCACCCUUGUAGUACUGGGACUCUAACCAUAGGCCAUGAAUCUGGUCUUGGGACACUGUCAGGUGGGCAGUUUGACUGGGGCGGUCGCCUCCCAAAAGGUAACGGAGGCGCUCAAAGGUUCUCUCAGUACGGUCGGAAAUCGUACGUAGAGUGUAAAGGCAAAAGAGAGCUUGAUUGCAAGACAUACAGGUCGAGCAAGGAUGAAAAUCGGACUUAGUGAUCCGGUGGUUCUGCGUGGAAGGGCCAUCGCUCAACGGAUAAAAGCUACCCUGGGGAUAACAGGCUUAUCUCCCCCAAGAGUCCACAUCGACGGGGAGGUUUGGCACCUCGAUGUCGGCUCAUCACAUCCUGGGGCUGUAGUAGGUCCCAAGGGUUGGGCUGUUCGCCCAUUAAAGUGGUACGCGAGCUGGGUUCAGAACGUCGUGAGACAGUUCGGUCCCUAUCCGUCGCAGGCGUAGGAAAUUUGAGAAGACCUGUCCUUAGUACGAGAGGACCGGGAUGGACGUACCUCUGGUGUACCAGUUGUCCUGCCAAGGGCAUGGCUGGGUAGCUAUGUACGGAAUGGAUAAGCGCUGAAAGCAUCUAAGCGCGAAGCCAACUUCAAGAUAAGAUUUCCCACCGCAAGGGUAAGACCCCAGAAAGACUAUCUGGUUGAUAGGUCGAAGGUGUAAGUGCAGCAAUGUAUUUAGCUUAUCGAUACUAAUAGGUCGAGGACUUGACCAA
rnacentral:rRNA from 1 species